rnacentral:rRNA from 1 species
GGAUUGCCCUAGUAACGGCGAGUGAAGCGGCAACAGCUCAAAUUUGAAAGCUAGCCUUCGGGUUCGCAUUGUAAUUUGUAGAGGAUGCUUUGGGUAAAACGCCAGUCUAAGUUCCUUGGAACAGGACGUCAUAGAGGGUGAGAAUCCCGUAUGUGACUGGAAAUGUUAACCUAUGUAAAGCUCCUUCGACGAGUCGAGUUGUUUGGGAAUGCAGCUCUAAAUGGGAGGUAAAUUUCUUCUAAAGCUAAAUAUUGGCGAGAGACCGAUAGCGCACAAGUAGAGUGAUCGAAAGAUGAAAAGCACUUUGGAAAGAGAGUUAAAAAGCACGUGAAAUUGUUGAAAGGGAAGCGCUUGCAAUCAGACUUGUUUAAACUGUUCGGCCGGUCUUCUGACCGGUUUACUCAGUUUGGACAGGCCAGCAUCAGUUUCGGCGGCCGGAUAAAGGCUCUGGGAAUGUGGCCUCCACUUCGGUGGAGGUGUUAUAGCCCAGUGUGUAAUACGGCCAGCCGGGACUGAGGUCCGCGCUUCGGCUAGGAUGCUGGCGUAAUGGUUGUAAGCGACCCGUCUUGAAACACGGACCAAGGAGUCUAACAUCUAUGCGAGUGUUCGGGUGUCAAACCCCUGCGCGUAAUGAAAGUGAACGGAGGUGGGAACCGCAAGGUGCACCAUCGACCGAUCCUGAUGUCUUCGGAUGGAUUUGAGUAAGAGCAUAGCUGUUGGGACCCGAAAGAUGGUGAACUAUGCCUGAAUAGGGUGAAGCCAGAGGAAACUCUGGUGGAGGCUCGCAGCGGUUCUGACGUGCAAAUCGAUCGUCAAAUUUGGGUAUAGGGGCGAAAGACUAAC